GACGAACCGUGCAAACGCUGUUCGGAAUCACUGGGCUUAAAGGGCGCGUAGGCGGGCGGCCAAGUCAGGGGUGAAAUCUUUCGGCUCAACCGGAAAAUUGCCUUUGAAACUGGCUGUCUCGAGGGAGGUAGGGGCAUGUGGAACUUCCGGUGGAGCGGUGAAAUGCGUUGAUAUCGGAAGGAACGCCGGUGGCGAAAGCGACGUGCUGGACCUCUUCUGACGCUGAGGCGCGAAAGCUAGGGGAG
rnacentral:rRNA from 1 species